rnacentral:rRNA from 1 species
GAUGAACGCUGGCGGCGUGCCUAAUACAUGCAAGUCGAGCGAAUGGAUUAAGAGCUUGCUCUUAUGAAGUUAGCGGCGGACGGGUGAGUAACACGUGGGUAACCUGCCCAUAAGACUGGGAUAACUCCGGGAAACCGGGGCUAAUACCGGAUAACAUUUUGAACCGCAUGGUUCGAAAUUGAAAGGCGGCUUCGGCUGUCACUUAUGGAUGGACCCGCGUCGCAUUAGCUAGUUGGUGAGGUAACGACUCACCAAGGCAACGAUGCGUAGCCGACCUGAGAGGGUGAUCGGCCACGCUGGGACGGAGACACGGCCCAGACUCCUACGGGAGGCAGCAGUAGGGAAUCUUCCGCAAUGGACGAAAGUCUGACGGAGCAACGUCGCGUGAGUGAUGAAGGCUUUCGGGUCGUAAAACUCUGUUGUUAGGGAAGAACAAGUGCUAGUUGAAUAAGCUGGCACCUUGACGGUACCUAACCAGAAAGCCACGGCUAACUACGUGCCAGCCGCCGCAGUAA